AACGUAGGUGGCGAGCGUUAUCCGGAUUUACUGGGCGUAAAGCGCGCGCAGGCGGUUCGCUAAGUCCGGUGUGAAAGCUCCCGGCUCAACUGGGAGAGGUCAUUGGAUACUGGCGAACUCGAGGGAGGCAGAGGAAGGUGGAAUUCCCGGUGUAGUGGUGAAAUGCGUAGAUAUCGGGAAGAACACCAACGGCGAAAGCACUCUGCUGGGCCGAAAAACUGACACUGAUAGACGAAAGCCAGGGGAGCAAACGGG
rnacentral:rRNA from 1 species